rnacentral:rRNA from 1 species
GAUGAACGCUGGCGGCGUGCUUAACACAUGCAAGUCGAACGGAAAGGCCCAAGCUUGCUUGGGUACUCGAGUGGCGAACGGGUGAGUAACACGUGGGUGAUCUGCCCUGCACUUCGGGAUAAGCCUGGGAAACUGGGUCUAAUACCGGAUAGGACCACUUCUUGGAUGUUGUGGUGGAAAGUUUUUUCGGUGUGGGAUGAGCUCGCGGCCUAUCAGCUUGUUGGUGGGGUAAUGGCCUACCAAGGCGUCGACGGGUAGCCGGCCUGAGAGGGUGUACGGCCACAUUGGGACUGAGAUACGGCCCAGACUCCUACGGGAGGCAGCAGGGGGGAAUAUUGCACAAGGGGCGCAAGCCGGAUGCAGCGACGCCGCGUGGGGGAUGACGGCCUUCGGGUUGUAAACUCCUUUCGCUAGGGACGAAGCGUUUUGUGACGGUACCUGGAGAAGAAGCACCGGCUAACUACGUG